rnacentral:rRNA from 1 species
AACGAACGCUGGCGGCAUGCCUAACACAUGCAAGUCGAACGAACCCUUCGGGGUGAGUGGCGCACGGGUGCGUAACACGUGGGAACCUGCCCUUAGGUUCGGAAUAACAGUUAGAAAUGACUGCUAAUACCGGAUAAUGUCUUCGGACCAAAGAUUUAUCGCCUUUGGAUGGGCCCGCGUAGGAUUAGCUAGUUGGUGAGGUAAAGGCUCACCAAGGCGACGAUCCUUAGCUGGUCUUAGAGGAUGAUCAACCACACUGGGACUGAGACACGGCCCAGACUCCUACGGGAGGCAGCAGUGGGGAAUAUUGGACAAUGGGCGAAAGCCUGAUCCAGCAAUGCCGCGUGAGUGAUGAAGGCCUUAGGGUUGUAAAGCUCUUUUACCUGGGAUGAUAAUGACAGUACCAGGAGAAUAAGCCCCGGCUAACUCCGUGCCAGCCGCCGCUGUAAUAC